GCUGGCGGCAGGCCUAACACAUGCAAGUCGAACGGAGUUAUAUUGUAGCUUGCUAUGGUAUAACUUAGUGGCAGACGGGUGAGUAAUGUAUAGGAAUCUACCUAGUAGUACGGAAUAAUUGUUGGAAACGGCAACUAAUACCGUAUACGCCCUACGGGGGAAAAAUUUAUUGCUAUUAGAUGAGCCUAUAUUAGAUUAGCUAGUUGGUGGAGUAAUAGCCUACCAAGGCAAUGAUCUAUAGCUGAUCUGAGAGGAUGAUCAGCCACACUGGAACUGAGAUACGGUCCAGACUCCUACGGGAGGCAGCAGUGGGGAAUAUUGGACAAUGGGCGAAAGCCUGAUCCAGCCAUGCCGCAUGAGUGAAGAAGGCCUUUGGGUUGUAAAGCUCUUUUAGUGAGGAAGAUAAUGACGGUACUCACAGAAGAAGUCCUGGCUAACUCCGUGCCAGCAGCCGCGGUAAUACGGAGAGGGCUAGCGUUAUUCGGAAUUAUUGGGCGUAAAGGGCGCGUAGGCGGAUUAGUAAGUUAAAAGUGAAAUCCCAAGGCUCAACCUUGGAAUUGCUUUUAAAACUGCUAAUCUAGAGAUUGAAAGAGGAUAGAGGAAUUCCUAGUGUAGAGGUGAAAUUCGUAAAUAUUAGGAGGAACACCAGUGGCGAAGGCGUCUAUCUGGUUCAAAUCUGACGCUGAGGCGCGAAGGCGUGGGGAGCAAACAGGAUUAGAUACCCUGGUAGUCCACGCUGUAAACGAUGAAUGUUAAAUAUGGGAAGUUUUACUUUCUGUAUUACCGCUAACGCGUUAAA
rnacentral:rRNA from 1 species